GUGUUAAGGAGAGAAGAUUAACAUUCCCCUUGGCAGGAGUGAAAGAGGCUCUCAGACCUGACAACAUGCAUAUGGUUAAGGCCUUGCCAUCUACUUCAUGGCAUCUAAGCACCAUAUUUU